rnacentral:rRNA from 1 species
GAUGAACGCUGGCGGCGUGCCUAAUACAUGCAAGUCGAGCGAACAGACGAGGAGCUUGCUCCUCUGACGUUAGCGGCGGACGGGUGAGUAACACGUGGAUAACCUACCUAUAAGACUGGGAUAACUUCGGGAAACCGGAGCUAAUACCGGAUAACAUGUUGAACCGCAUGGUUCAACAGUGAAAGACGGUCUUGCUGUCACUUAUAGAUGGAUCCGCGCCGCAUUAGCUAGUUGGUAAGGUAACGGCUUACCAAGGCAACGAUGCGUAGCCGACCUAAGGGGGUGAUCAGCCACACUGGAACUGAGACACGGUCCAGACUCCUACGGGAGGCAGCAGUAGGGAAUCUUCCGCAAUGGGCGAAAGCCUGACGGAGAAACGCCGGGUGAGUGAAGAAGGUCUUCGGAUCGUAAAACCCUGUUAUUAGGGAAGAACAAAUGUGUAAGUAACUAUGCACGUCUUGACGGUACCUAAUCAGAAAGCCACGGCUAACUACGUGCCAGCCGCCGCCGUAA